UUAUUACCGUGCUAUUUCCUAUCAAAAUUAUAUAAAACAAUCGCUACCUUCGCGUGACUCAAACUGAUGAGAACCUUUUGUUCUGAUACCAUGUGAAAUUAUAUAAAACAUCCAUUAUUCUCUAAAAGUUUAAACUGAUAGAGAAUGUUGUUUUUAUAUUUAUACGCUCUAAUUAGUUUCAGAUCUUUGAAUGGUAUAAAUUCUUUAUUUUUUGUUGCUUUUGUUA
rnacentral:lncRNA from 1 species